rnacentral:rRNA from 1 species
AUAAAGCGGGUGAAAAGCCCGCUCGCCGGAAGACCAAGGGUUCCUGUCCAACGUUAAUCGGGGCAGGGUGAGUCGACCCCUAAGGCGAGGCCGAAAGGCGUAGUCGAUGGGAAACAGGUUAAUAUUCCUGUACUUGGUGUUACUGCGAAGGGGGGACGGAGAAGGCUAUGUUGGCCGGGCGACGGUUGUCCCGGUUUAAGCGUGUAGGCUGGUUUUCCAGGCAAAUCCGGAAAACUAAGGCUGAGGCGUGAUGACGAGGCACUACGGUGCUGAAGCAACAAAUGCCCUGCUUCCAGGAAAAGCCUCUAAGCAUCAGGUAACAUCAAAUCGUACCCCAAACCGACACAGGUGGUCAGGUAGAGAAUACCAAGGCGCUUGAGAGAACUCGGGUGAAGGAACUAGGCAAAAUGGUGCCGUAACUUCGGGAGAAGGCACGCUGAUAUGUAGGUGAAGUCCCUCGCGGAUGGAGCUGAAAUCAGUCGAAGAUACCAGCUGGCUGCAACUGUUUAUUAAAAACACAGCACUGUGCAAACACGAAAGUGGACGUAUACGGUGUGACGCCUGCCCGGUGCCGGAAGGUUAAUUGAUGGGGUCAGCGCAAGCGAAGCUCUUGAUCGAAGCCCCGGUAAACGGCGGCCGUAACUAUAACGGUCCUAAGGUAGCGAAAUUCCUUGUCGGGUAAGUUCCGACCUGCACGAAUGGCGUAAUGAUGGCCAGGCUGUCUCCACCCGAGACUCAGUGAAAUUGAACUCGCUGUGAAGAUGCAGUGUACCCGCGGCAAGACGGAAAGACCCCGUGAACCUUUACUAUAGCUUGACACUGAACAUUGAGCCUUGAUGUGUAGGAUAGGUGGGAGGCUUUGAAGUGUGGACGCCAGUCUGCAUGGAGCCGACCUUGAAAUACCACCCUUUAAUGUUUGAUGUUCUAACGUUGACCCGUAAUCCGGGUUGCGGACAGUGUCUGGUGGGUAGUUUGACUGGGGCGGUCUCCUCCUAAAGAGUAACGGAGGAGCACGAAGGUUGGCUAAUCCUGGUCGGACAUCAGGAGGUUAGUGCAAUGGCAUAAGCCAGCUUGACUGCGAGCGUGACGGCGCGAGCAGGUGCGAAAGCAGGUCAUAGUGAUCCGGUGGUUCUGAAUGGAAGGGCCAUCGCUCAACGGAUAAAAGGUACUCCGGGGAUAACAGGCUGAUACCGCCCAAGAGUUCAUAUCGACGGCGGUGUUUGGCACCUCGAUGUCGGCUCAUCACAUCCUGGGGCUGAAGUAGGUCCCAAGGGUAUGGCUGUUCGCCAUUUAAAGUGGUACGCGAGCUGGGUUUAGAACGUCGUGAGACAGUUCGGUCCCUAUCUGCCGUGGGCGCUGGAGAACUGAGGGGGGCUGCUCCUAGUACGAGAGGACCGGAGUGGACGCAUCACUGGUGUUCGGGUUGUCAUGCCAAUGGCACUGCCCGGUAGCUAAAUGCGGAAGAGAUAAGUGCUGAAAGCAUCUAAGCACGAAACUUGCCCCGAGAUGAGUUCUCCCUGACUCCUUGAGAGUCCUGAAGGAACGUUGAAGACGACGACGUUGAUAGGCCGGGUGUGUAAGCGCAGCGAUGCGUUGAGCUAACCGGUACUAAUGAACCGUGAGGCUUAACCUUACAACGCCGAAGGUGUUU